CAUAUUUUGUAUAUAACGAAAUAAAAUGUAACUUAAAGGGAUAGUUUACCAAAAAUUAAAUCACUGUCAUCGUUUGCUCACCCCUAAACUAGGGCUGGGCGAUAUAGCCUAAAAAAAAAUCCCAGAUUUUUUUCACAAAAAAAUCAGAUUUACACACACUUAAAAUCAAUAUUCAGAUGACAAAGAAAUUGUUCAAAAUAAGUUUUUAAAAUAAGUUUUUAAUAAAGUUAAAAAUAAGUUUUAACUUUAUUUUGUUUUGAUUUUCCCUUCUGGGAUUUGAUCUGGAUUUCCACAUUGGGGUUAAAGUGCAAUCAAAAACAACAAGCCAAAAAGAGCGCAGGCCCUGCCAUUGUAAACAGUGAAAAUGUAACAUAACAUUACAUAAAAUGUAACAUACCAGAUAAAGUUUGUAAAUGUUUGUAAGACUGUCGGUGGUCUUCACUAUUUUUUUCAUGGGAGCUACACUGAUAGGGCAAGGUCAUUCAGAGAGCCACUUUUACCGCAAAGUAUCAAAAGUUACAUCUAGUCAUAAAUAGCAUGUCUUUUUGUUAAUCUGUCAUCCCUGAUAUGCAAUGCAAUACAAAAAUAUAUAUAUACUAGCCCAUCAUGCAUCUAACCAUCCAUCCAAGUGCACACUAAGUGUUAAGAGCUGCUAAAGGGGUCCUUUUAAGCUCUUUUACAAGGUCUUCAUUUUGUUUUGGGGUGUACUAGAACAGGCUCUCAUACUAGGUUGUUCGAAAAACACAUUAUUUUUCACAUAUUUUACAUUAUUACAACUCUCUCCCCAGUCUGGCAUGAACGGCUGGAAUAGUUCCUGUAUCAAAUGAAGGCCCGCCUUCUGAUAUACGAAAUUCUGACUUCGCUACGACAAUCUGGUGCUUCUGAAUCAGCUACUGCUUUCCAUGCACCAGUAACCCUGCAGACUGAGUCGUCAUCCCACCAGCCCUGCUAUCGGCCCAUCACUGUGAUCCUCUGGCUCCACGACUACUGUGGCCACUGACAGUGCGGUUUUUUGUAGAUGAGGUUUCUGCUAUUGAAAUAGGCCUGCAUUGAUUUUCAAAGGCAAAAUACUUGUGAUCCUAGAGUGUUACGGUGUGGUUUAGUUUGCAGAAAUCUUACAUUCGUCAAAUUUUUUAACUAAAGGCUGAAUAAAUUGCAUGCGGAAGGAAAAUCCAGAAAUAAUGAGAAUGAAAAGCCUUUCAUGUACAAUAUGUGAUUCCGUAAACAAAACCGAUGCGAAUUAGCUCAUCUGUCUGAGGAGAUUUACUGGAUUGUUAUGAAACAGGAUACUGAGCAGCAACAGCCUCUGUCAGGGAACAUCAUGAUGUUAGUUGUUUCCAGGACCAAAUGACUUGUUGCCAAAUGCCAAAUUAUGUUAAUACGCUUAACAACAACCACGUGUAAAGUCGCAGAGACUCAGGGGUGAAGAAAUGAUUUGAAAAUGGGUUGAGACACAUUAAAGUAUGGAUAUUCAUUCUACCGAAAGCUUGGUGGGUACAUGGGGUGAAGACAAGCAUUUUAAAAUGUUUGGAAGUUGUAAUUUUUACUAUGUCUUGUAAACUGGUUAUACUACUCAAUAAUAAUACAGCACAAGUUUGGAGAAAAGAAAUACAAUAAAACAAUCUGCACAUUCUUUGAAUAAGGAACAAAUUGGUGUCUUAUUCCUUUUUUUUAACCUAUUAGAAAUAUAACUGUGUCACUGUGCAUGGAAGCCUACAGCAUGAUUUUCCCCAAUUAAUGUCCUUAAAACUGU
ensembl:lncRNA